rnacentral:rRNA from 1 species
GAUGAACGCUGGCGGCGUGCCUAAUACAUGCAAGUCGAGCGAACGGACGAGAAGCUUGCUUCUCUGAUGUUAGCGGCGGACGGGUGAGUAACACGUGGAUAACCUACCUAUAAGACUGGGAUAACUUCGGGAAACCGGAGCUAAUACCGGAUAAUAUUUUGAACCGCAUGGUUCAAAAGUGAAAGACGGUCUUGCUGUCACUUAUAGAUGGAUCCGCGCUGCAUUAGCUAGUUGGUAAGGUAACGGCUUACCAAGGCAACGAUGCAUAGCCGACCUGAGAGGGUGAUCGGCCACACUGGAACUGAGACACGGUCCAGACUCCUACGGGAGGCAGCAGUAGGGAAUCUUCCGCAAUGGGCGAAAGCCUGACGGAGCAACGCCGCGUGAGUGAUGAAGGUCUUCGGAUCGUAAAACUCUGUUAUUAGGGAAGAACAUAUGUGUAAGUAACUGUGCACAUCUUGACGGUACCUAAUCAGAAAGCCACGGCUAACUACGUGCCAGCAGCCGCGGUAAUACGUAGGUGGCAAGCGUUAUCCGGAAUUAUUGGGCGUAAAGCGCGCGUAGGCGGUUUUUUAAGUCUGAUGUGAAAGCCCACGGCUCAACCGUGGAGGGUCAUUGGAAACUGGAAAACUUGAGUGCAGAAGAGGAAAGUGGAAUUCCAUGUGUAGCGGUGAAAUGCGCAGAGAUAUGGAGGAACAUCAGUGGCGAAGGCGACUUUCUGGUCUGUAACUGACGCUGAUGUGCGAAAGCGUGGGGAUCAAACAGGAUUAGAUACCCUGGUAGUCCACGCCGUAAACGAUGAGUGCUAAGUGUUAGGGGGUUUCCGCCCCUUAGUGCUGCAGCUAACGCAUUAAGCACUCCGCCUGGGGAGUACGACCGCAAGGUUGAAACUCAAAGGAAUUGACGGGGACCCGCACAAGCGGUGGAGCAUGUGGUUUAAUUCGAAGCAACGCGAAGAACCUUACCAAAUCUUGACAUCCUUUGACAACUCUAGAGAUAGAGCUUUCCCCUUCGGGGGACAAAGUGACAGGUGGUGCAUGGUUGUCGUCAGCUCGUGUCGUGAGAUGUUGGGUUAAGUCCCGCAACGAGCGCAACCCUUAAGCUUAGUUGCCAUCAUUAAGUUGGGCACUCUAAGUUGACUGCCGGUGACAAACCGGAGGAAGGUGGGGAUGACGUCAAAUCAUCAUGCCCCUUAUGAUUUGGGCUACACACGUGCUACAAUGGACAAUACAAAGGGCAGCGAAACCGCGAGGUCAAGCAAAUCCCAUAAAGUUGUUCUCAGUUCGGAUUGUAGUCUGCAACUCGACUACAUGAAGCUGGAAUCGCUAGUAAUCGUAGAUCAGCAUGCUACGGUGAAUACGUUCCCGGGUCU